rnacentral:lncRNA from 1 species
GCAAAGUCGCGUUAUCGAAUAGGCAAGACGGCGUCGUCAGGCGUCACCCUCUGUUAGUAAUGUCCGUCGCUUGCGUUUAAGCUGAUUUAAGCCCGCGGCAUCCUGAGGACGAGCUCCCGCUCCUGCGUCCGCCACUCUCCAAGUCUAGGGUUUACGAAAAGAAAGGGUCGGCGAAAGGAGCAACAACCCGAGGUGCGCCUCUCCUCCUCCCUUCCAAAUCCUGAGGCUUCUCGUAUUUUCCCCGUGUUAGGGUUUGAGCCUUUUCUUUUCAAUUUCGAUCGAUGGGUCUGUGUUCUGGUGCUCUUUAUAUGGUACAAAGAACAGAGCUGUAGGACGGUCUAGUUUCUUUCGACCUUUUUCUUUUCCUUUUCCCUUUUGAGUAUGUUGAUGCAUGGAUGUAUGUGUUAGCCCUGCG